GUUUUCAUUCAUACAAAAGAUUCAAUUAAGAUAAAAAAAAAUUGUGGUCUGGUUAGUACUUGGUUGGGAGACCACCUAGGAAGACCAGGUGCUGUAGGAG
rnacentral:rRNA from 1 species